rnacentral:rRNA from 1 species
AUGGCGGGCGUGCAGGCCAUGGCUCGCUAUGGAAGGCCCUUCCCUUCCCUCUCUCUGUUCAGGCCAUGGUCAGGCAGUCUUUUCUGGCUAGAGCCCAACACAAAAGCCGUCCCUAAUGUUGUUGCUGCUAAUGCCUACACACACACACACAGAGAGAGAGAGAGAGAGAGAGAGAGAGAGAGAGAGAGAGAGAGAGAGAGAGAGAGAGACAAGAGGUGUGAUGCUAGCUAUGUGAGCGUGUGCCAGCUCGUGCUACUGCUAAUAUUAUUUUUAGUUGCCCUUCUAUUGCUUCUCAUUUUGUAUGUAUGUGUGUUAUGCAGAUUGUUGUGA